rnacentral:rRNA from 1 species
UACAGAGGUCCCGAGCGUUGUUCGGAUUCACUGGGCGUAAAGGGUGCGUAGGUGGCGAUGAAAGUUCGAUGUGAAAUCUCCGGGCUUAACCCGGAAAAGGCAUUGAAAACUAUGUUGCUUGAGGUUUGGAGGGGGGGGGACUGGAAUUCUUGGUGUAGCAGUGAAAUGCGUAGAUAUCAAGUGGAACACCAGUGGCGAAGGCGAAUCCCUGGAAAAUACCUGACACUGAGGCACGAAAGCUAGGGAGCAAACAGG